rnacentral:misc_RNA from 1 species
GGCUGGAUCACCUCCUUUCUAAGGAAUUUUGGUUUUCGCAAGAAAAUUAUAUUUCUUAAGGUCAACCGACAAAUCGUUUUCCUAGCUGUUUGGUUUUGAAAGAGUGAAGGCUUAGGGGCCUGUAGCUCAGUUGGUUAGAGCACACGCUUGAUAAGCGUGGGGUCGGAAGUUCAAGUCUUCCUAGGCCCACCAGUUCGAAAGUUUGUUCUUUGAAAAUCGAAUAGUUUUGUUUAACUCUGUAUUUUAAUUUUAGUAAUGUUGAUUUAUUUUUAUGAAUGCGGUGAUUUUCAGCCCGUAAGGCGUAAGUUUAAAAGCUACUAAGGGCUUAUGGCGGAUGCCUUGGCACCAAAAAGCGAUGAAGGACGUGGUAAGCUGCGAAAAGUCUCGGGGAACAGCACACAUGUUUUGAUCCGGGAAUGUCCGAAUGGGGAAACCCACCAGUUAUCUGGUAUCUGUUGGUGAAUACAUAGCCAACUGAAGCGAACGAGGGGAAGUGAAACAUCUCAGUACCCUCAGGAAAAGAAAUCAACCGAGAUUUCCCCAGUAGUGGCGAGCGAACGGGAAAUAGCCUAAACCUUAUGUAUGUUAAAGCUUCUAGGCGUUGUACAUAAGGUGUCGCGGGACUUUCAGGGAUAUCUAGAAAUAUUCCAAAGAGUUACAAAAUCAAAUUUUAGUUUAACGGUUUGGAAAAUCCGGCCAGAGAAGGUGAUAGCCCUGUGAAUAAAAAAGUUUGAUCUCUUGAAAGUAUCCCAAGUACCACCGGACACGAGAAAUCCGUUGGGAAUCCGGGGAGACCACUCUCCAAGGCUGAAUAUUCUUUGGUGACCGAUAGUGAACUAGUACCGUGAGGGAAAGUUGAAAAGAACCCCGUGAGGGGAGUGAAAUAGAACCUGAAACCGUAAGCUUACUAGCAGUGGGAGCACAAUGUACUUGUACAAGUGUGACCGCGUACCUCUUGCAUAAUGAGUCAGCGAGUUAUUCUUGCAGGCAAGGUUAAGCCGUCAAAGGUGUAGCCGUAGCGAAAGCGAGUCCGAAUGGGGCGCUUAGUCUGCAGGAUUAAACCCGAAACCCGGUGAUCUUAUCAUGGCCAGGGUGAAGCGUGGGUAAAACCGCGUGGAGGCCCGAACCGAUGGAAGUUGAAAAUUCCUCGGAUGAGCUGUGAUAAGGGGUGAAAGGCCAAUCAAACUGGGUUAUAGCUGGUUCUCCCCGAAAUAUAUUUAGGUAUAGCCUUGAGUUAAUUCUAUUACGGAGGUAGAGCACUGAAUGGGCUAGGGGUCUUUACCAGAUUACCAAACCCAAUCAAACUCCGAAUGCCGUUAAUAGCUAUCUCAGGAGGCAGUCCCGGGGUGACAAGGUCACGGGACGAGAGGGAAAGAGCCCAGACCGCCGGCUAAGGUCCCAAACUAUGUGCUAAGUGGAAAACGUUGUGGAGUUACUUAGACAACUAGGAGGUUGGCUUAGAAGCAGCGAUCCUUUAAAGAAAGCGUAAUAGCUCACUAGUCUAGUGAUUCUGCGCGGAAGAUAUAACGGGGCUCAAGCACAUGACCGAAGCCGCGGCUGCAUAGCGCAAGCUAUGCGGGGUAGGGGAGCGUUCUAGUGUAGGCUGAAGGUAGAUCGUGAGAACUGCUGGACGAACUAGAAGUGUUCAUGCUGACAUAAGUAGCGUAUAAACGCAGGUGAAAAACCUGCGCGCCGUAAACUCAAGGGUUCCUGGGCCACGAUAAUCGUCCCAGGGUUAGUCGAGUCCUAAGAUGAGGCCAAUCGGCGUAAUCGAUGGCAAAACGGUUAAUAUUCCGUUACCGAUUCUGAUGUAAAUAUCGGAGGGACAGAGUAGGAUAUACCAGCCUCUUAUUGGAUUGAGGUGUAAGCGUGUAGGUGGAGAGAUUGGCAAAUCCGUCUCUCUUUAACACUGAGACGCGAAUGCGAGGGACAUUUGUUCCGGAAGUGGUAAAAUCCAUGCUCUCAAGAAAAGCUUCGAUAUGUUGUUAGAGUCGCUCGUACCGUAAACCGACUCAGGUGAGUGGGGCGAAAAUCCUAAGGCGAUUGAGUUAAACCUAGUUAAGGAACUCGGCAACUUAACACCGUAACUUCGGGAAAAGGUGUGCCUUUGAAAGUGUAGUGAUUUACUCACGAAGCUUUUAGAGGUCGCAGAGACCAGGGAGUGGCGACUGUUUAUCAAAAACACAGGCAUGUGCAAAGUCACAAGACGACGUAUACGUGCUGACGCCUGCCCGGUGCUGGAAGGUUAAGAGGAUUUGUUAGCUUCGGCGAAGCAGAGAAUCGAAGCCCCAGUAAACGGCGGCCGUAACUAUAACGGUCCUAAGGUAGCGAAAUUCCUUGUCGGGUAAGUUCCGACCUGCACGAAUGGCGUAACGACUUCUCCGGUGUCUCAACUAGGUGCUCAGCGAAUUUGAAUUCUCGGUGAAAAUGCCGGGUACCCGCAGAAAGACGGAAAGACCCCGUGAACCUUUACUGCAACUUGGCAGUGAACUUUGAGUUUUCAUGUGUAGGAUAGGUGGGAGCCUUUGAAGCCGUGGCGCUAGCCACGGUGGAGGCAAUCUUGAAAUACCACCCUUGGAAACUUAGAGUUCUAACCUGCUCCCGUUAGCCGGGAGAGGGACACUGUCUGGUGGGCAGUUUGACUGGGGCGGUCGCCUCCCAAAAAGUAACGGAGGCGUG